rnacentral:lncRNA from 1 species
GCAGAAGAAUCGCUUGAACCCCGGGAGGCGGAGGUUACAAUCUGUUUCUUAGAAGUGGACACGUGAACUCUUACACAGAUCAAGAGGAGCAGCUCUGUAAAUAUUUCCCUGAGAGACUGCGUGGCAAACGUGAAUCCUCAGUUCUGCAAAACCGCGCAGGGGAGAGAAAAAGCCGCCCACGAAUUGAACUGUCUGCACCG